rnacentral:rRNA from 1 species
UGGGGAAUCUUGGACAAUGGGGGCAACCCUGAUCCAGCGACGCCGCGUGGGUGAUGAAGGCCUUAGGGUUGUAAACCCCUUUCACCGGGGAGGAUGAUGACGUUACCCGGAGAAGAAGCACCGGCUAACUCCGUGCCAGCAGCCGCGGUAAGACGGAGGGUGCUAGCGUUGUUCGGAAUCACUGGGCGUAAAGGGCGCGCAGGCGGCCAAGAUAGUCAGAUGUGAAAGCCCGGAGCUCAACUCCGGAAUUGCAUUUGAUACUCCUUGGCUCGAGGUCGAAAGAGGAGAGUGGAAUACCCAGUGUAGAGGUGAAAUUCGUAGAUAUUGGGUGGAACACCAGUGGCGAAAGCGGCUCUCUGGUUCGAACCUGACGCUGAGGCGCGAAAGCGUGGGGAGCAAACAGGAUUAGAUACCCCCGUAGUCC